AAGAUUGUGAUGCUCAUUGUGAAAAAAUUCGUGAAUAAUUUUGACGAACUUUAUUGUUGAAUUCCCUUACACCAAAGAUGCUUUGUCGAUGAACCCCAUCUGACAUCCCUGUAACAAACCCUCGGACCGUUUGGCAAUCUCAAGAAUAUCAAGCAAGCAAUGUAUCAUCAAAUCUUACAUAAGUACAAUCCGCAAUCUUAGACAAUAUGGGCAUUUAAAUUUGAGGAGGAGUUAACAUCUUGCUGAGAAUUCGGUAUAAUUCUGCCGGAAACCCACGACCAUAAUUGAUUUAAUUACAUUGUGUUAAUUAGAGCAGCUCCCCGAAAGCAAUUGGAUACAACCCCUUUCACAAUAACUGAAUGCUACGUUUAUUUUGGGCUCUGAAUAUCCGAUCUUCGAGAUUUUACUUGAUUCACUCAGUUUAUAGGAUAAAUGCACCAA